rnacentral:rRNA from 1 species
GACGAACGCUGGCGGCGUGCCUAAUACAUGCAAGUCGAACGAACCGCGACUAAGUGCUUGCACUCAGUCAAGGUGAGUGGCGAACGGGUGAGUAACACGUGGGUAACCUACCUCAUAGUGGGGGAUAACAGUCGGAAACGACUGCUAAUACCGCAUAGGACAUAGGAUCACAUGAUCCAGUGAGGAAAGGUGGCGCAAGCUAUCGCUAAGAGAUGGACCCGCGGUGCAUUAGCUAGUUGGUAGGGUAAAGGCCUACCAAGGCGAUGAUGCAUAGCCGACCUGAGAGGGUGAUCGGCCACAUUGGGACUGAGACACGGCCCAAACUCCUACGGGAGGCAGCAGUAGGGAAUCUUCCGCAAUGGACGCAAGUCUGACGGAGCAACGCCGCGUGAGUGAAGUGGGUCUUCGGAUCGUAAAGCUCUGUUGUUAGAGAAGAACAGCGCAUAGAGUAACUGCUAUGCGUGUGACGGUAUCUAACCAGAAAGCCACGGCUAACUACGUG